GAUGAACGCUGGCGGCAGGCCUAACACAUGCAAGUCGAACGGCAGCACAGCAGUAGCAAUACUGUGGGUGGCGAGUGGCGGACGGGUGAGGAAUACAUCGGAAUCUGCCUAGUCGUGGGGGAUAACGUAGGGAAACUUACGCUAAUACCGCAUACGACCUACGGGUGAAAGCGGGGGAUCGCAAGACCUCGCGCGAUUAGAUGAGCCGAUGUCCGAUUAGCUAGUUGGCGGGGUAAUGGCCCACCAAGGCGACGAUCGGUAGCUGGUCUGAGAGGAUGAUCAGCCACACUGGAACUGAGACACGGUCCAGACUCCUACGGGAGGCAGCAGUGGGGAAUAUUGGACAAUGGGCGCAAGCCUGAUCCAGCCAUGCCGCGUGGGUGAAGAAGGCCUCGGUGUAAGCCUU
rnacentral:rRNA from 1 species